UACAUGGGGUGCAAACGUUGCUCGGAAUUAUUGGGCGUAAAGCGCACGUAGGCGGUUUGUUAAGUCGGAUGUGAAAUCCCUCGGCUCAACUGAGGAAGUGCAUCCGAAACUGGCAAGCUUGAGUACGAAAGAGGGUCGCGGAAUUCCCGGUGUAGAGGUGAAAUUCGUAGAUAUCGGGAGGAACACCGGUGGCGAAGGCGGCGACCUGGGUCGAUACUGACGCUGAGACGCGAAAGCGUGGGGAGCGAACAGG
rnacentral:rRNA from 1 species